UGCCGGCGGGCGUAAUAACGCAGCUGCAGGAGAGGCGACCUCGUAAAAAGCGUA
rnacentral:ncRNA from 1 species